UCGAGAGUUUGAUCCUGGCUCAGGAUGAACGCUAGCGGCAGGCUUAACACAUGCAAGUCGAGGGGUAUAGUUCUUCGGAGCUAGAGACCGGCGCACGGGUGCGUAACGCGUAUGCAAUCUACCUUUUACAGAGGGAUAGCCCAGAGAAAUUUGGAUUAAUACCUCAUAGUAUGUGAGAAUCGCAUGGUUUUCACAUUAAAGUCACAACGGUAAAAGAUGAGCAUGCGUCCCAUUAGCUAGAUGGUAAGGUAACGGCUUACCAUGGCUACGAUGGGUAGGGGUCCUGAGAGGGAGAUCCCCCACACUGGUACUGAGACACGGACCAGACUCCUACGGGAGCAGCAGUGAGGAAUAUUGGACAAUGGGGCGCAAGCCCUGAUCCCAGCCAUGCCGCGUGCAGGAUGACGGUCCUAUGGAUUGUAAACUGCUUUUAUACAGGAAGAAACACCUCUACGUGUAGAGACUUGACGGUACUGUAUGAAU
rnacentral:rRNA from 1 species